rnacentral:rRNA from 1 species
CCCUAUGGGGUGCAGCAGGCAGCAGGUAGCCGGAGAAAGCAUGCUCCGCGACAGCAGGAAGUCCCGAUCGAUCCCCCGGCGAUCCAGUUCUUCCCAAAGGCCUACGAGCUUCUUUUCCAGGGAAUCCACAGCCUCCUUUUCAAAGAACUGAAAGUUUGUCGGAGUGAUGCCCCAGAUGAGAACGCCGCCACGAUCCAGAAAUUUUCGAAUGGACCCGGCGUAGGAGACAAAAAUUUCUCCAUUGGUGUACAUGUCGAGAGAAAGGACGUCGAGAUCCAGGCCCAGCAGAAAGUCCCAGUCCGGAUUUCCACAGAGAUGAAUCCCUCUCGGUCGUUCGACGAUGGAAAAGAAAUUGUCCAGGUCCUGCCGGGCCAGGACAUUGUUGUAUCCCGACAUGCCGCUGAAAAUGAAUUGGCGGGGGAGC